rnacentral:rRNA from 1 species
UACGUAGGGUGCGAGCGUUAAUCGGAAUUACUGGGCGUAAAGCGUGCGCAGGCGGUUUUGUAAGCCAGAUGUGAAAGCCCCGGGCUUAACCUGGGAAUGGCAUUUGGGACUGCAAGGCUUGAGUGCGGCAGAGGAGACUGGAAUUCCUGGUGUAGCAGUGAAAUGCGUAGAUAUUGGGAGGAACACCAGUGGCGAAGGCGGCUCACUGGACCGGUACUGACGCUGAUGCGCGAAAGCGUGGGGAGCAAACGGG